rnacentral:rRNA from 1 species
AUUGAACGCUGGCGGCAGGCCUAACACAUGCAAGUCGAGCGGAUGAAGGGAGCUUGCUCCUGGAUUCAGCGGCGGACGGGUGAGUAAUGCCUAGGAAUCUGCCUGGUAGUGGGGGAUAACGUCCGGAAACGGGCGCUAAUACCGCAUACGUCCUGAGGGAGAAAGUGGGGGAUCUUCGGACCUCACGCUAUCAGAUGAGCCUAGGUCGGAUUAGCUAGUUGGUGGGGUAAAGGCCUACCAAGGCGACGAUCCGUAACUGGUCUGAGAGGAUGAUCAGUCACACUGGAACUGAGACACGGUCCAGACUCCUACGGGAGGCAGCAGUGGGGAAUAUUGGACAAUGGGCGAAAGCCUGAUCCAGCCAUGCCGCGUGUGUGAAGAAGGUCUUCGGAUUGUAAAGCACUGUAAGUUGGGAGGAAGGGCAGUAAGUUAAUACCUUGCUAUUUUGACGUUACCAACAGAGUAAGCACCGGCUAACUUCGUG